rnacentral:rRNA from 1 species
UACGGGGGGAGCAAGCGUUGUUCGGAUUUACUGGGCGUAAAGCGCACGUAGGCGGCUUCUUAAGUCGGUGGUGAAAUCCUGGAGCUCAACUCCAGAACUGCCUUCGAUACUGGGAGCUCGAGUCCGGGAGAGGUGAGUGGAACUGCGAGUGUAGAGGUGAAAUUCGUAGAUAUUCGCAAGAACACCAGUGGCGAAGGCGGCUCACUGGCCCGAUACUGACGCUGAGGCACGAAAGCGUGGGGAGCAAACAGG